UUUCAUUUGGAUCUUCUAUUUUUGCAUUUGUCAUUUUCUUCUGCAAUAGAGGGUUCCACCUCAAGUGCUGAGAGUUUCAAGUCUUCCUUGUUCUUCCUAGUUCCAGGUUGAGUCUUCAUUCUUUUCUUCUAGUUUUUCUUAUUUCUUCUUCUAGGUUUCUCUGCCAUCUAUCAUUUUCAAUGGCAAGUAGGGGUAGAAAAGGAAAAGCUUCAACUUCUCGAGAUAGUCGAUUGAAAAAUUCGAUCGAUGAUUCUCCUUCGAGUUCGGAGAUGGAAGUUUCUUCCUUAUCCGGAUCCAAC
rnacentral:lncRNA from 1 species